AAGUCCCGCUGCAGCACGUCACUGAUGAAUGUCUCGUAGCGCAGCACUUUCUCCCCCGUGGCCUCCACCGCCCGCCGCUUAGGGGGCGUCGCCAUGAUGGGCUCCUGGGGAGUGGGGAGGGGGAAGACCAUGUUGACCGCUCCAGUUUGGCCUCACACACAGUUCAUCUCUACCCUCUCAACGCUGGGAAUCGGCUUGUCCGGCUCAAGCUGAAGGUUCAGCCUUCCGCCCCUCCCAACUCGGGGACCCGGCCACCCAGGGACACCCAAGCGCGGCCUUUACCUCAGGGCCGCCAGCAAUAAGAACGGUUGGUAGGAACCGCGGCUUCCGGGUGGCGCGGGUGAAUGACGUUAGAUUUUCAAACAAGAACUUAUAACCCAGCAAGAAUGGGCCUUUGCCUGGAGAAGAAUCCAGACCGUGGGAUGAAUCCCCAAAUGCUAUUUUCAUCUGUAGAGCCUAGAGCACCCACCCCUACCAAGGAAGUCUUCCCAGAUAAUUUGUGUUUCAUAUGUAAAAGCAAGUUUUUUUUUUUUUUCAAAUGCUCAAAACCCAAGCAAGUUAAGCCCUUCC
rnacentral:antisense_RNA from 1 species